AAGAACCUUACCUGGCCUUGACAUAGAAAGAACUUACUAGAGAUAGUUUGGUGCUAGCUUGCUAGAACUUUCAUACAGGUGCUGCACGGCUGUCGUCAGCUCGUGUCGUGAGAUGUUGGGUUAAGUCCCGCAACGAGCGCAACCCUCGUGUUUAGUUACUAACAGUUCGGCUGAGGACUCUAGACAGACUGCCUGGGUAACCAGGAGGAAGGUGAGGACGACGUCAAGUCAUCAUGGCCCUUACGGCCAGGGCUACACACGUGCUACAAUGGGGUAUACAAAGAGCCGCAAUACCGCGAGGUGGAGCAAAUCUCAUAAAAUAUCUCCCAGUUCGGAUUGAAGUCUGCAACUCGACUACAUGAAGUUGGAAUCGCUAGUAAUCGUGAAUCAGCAAUGUCACGGUGAAUACGUUCCCGGGUCUUGUACUCACCGCCC
rnacentral:rRNA from 1 species